rnacentral:rRNA from 1 species
UACGGGGGGGGCAAGCGUUGUUCGGAAUUAUUGGGCGUAAAGAGCUCGUAGGCGGUCUGUCGCGUCUGCUGUGAAAACUCAGGGCUUAACCCUGAGCUUGCAGUGGGUACGGGCAGACUAGAGUGCGGUAGGGGAGACUGGAAUUCCUGGUGUAGCGGUGAAAUGCGCAGAUAUCGGGAGGAACACCGGUGGCGAAGGCGGGUCUCUGGGCCGAUACUGACGCUGAGGAGCGAAAGCGUGGGGAGCGAACAGG